GGCGGCAUGGUCGUCCUCCGGAAACCAAAGGCGCAAAAAACAUAACUUGAGUUGUGCGGGAUUACGGGCGCGGCUCUCUGCAGCGUCCCUCCAUCCCCGGGUGUUGUAACCGGCAUGCGGUGGAACGCCCCCGGGCCUCCACCGUGCCACAACAUACCGUGAGUGUGCAGGAUGUGACCCGAAAGAUGGUGAACUAUGCCUGAUCAGGUUGAAGUCAGGGGAAACCCUGAUGGAGGACCGAAGCAGUUCUGACGUGCAAAUCGAUUGUCAGAAUUGGGCAUAGGGGCGAAAGACCAAUCGAACCAUCUAGUAGCUGGUUCCUUCCGAAAAGAA
rnacentral:rRNA from 1 species